rnacentral:misc_RNA from 1 species
ACACGAUCAACUCUAGUUAGAGUUGGCAUUGACCUCAUGUGCUAUUAAGAAGUGCAUUUGGUUUGAAUUGAUCAAGUUGAUGGGCUUCCCAGUGAUGCUCGAUGUGUGCUAGCGAGACAGUCGUCCCGAUCUCACAUUAUUGCAUCGUUGCAGAGCCCUAAUCACAGCUUGUUAAUUAUCAUAUAUCUA